UACGUAGGGUGCAAGCGUUAAUCGGAAUUACUGGGCGUAAAGCGUGCGCAGGCGGUUUUGUAAGUCUGACGUGAAAUCCCCGGGCUCAACCUGGGAAUUGCGAUGGAGACUGCAAGGCUAGAAUCUGGCAGAGGGGGGUAGAAUUCCACGUGUAGCAGUGAAAUGCGUAGAGAUGUGGAGGAACACCGAUGGCGAAGGCAGCCCCCUGGGUCAAGAUUGACGCUCAUGCACGAAAGGCGUGGGGAGCAAACGAGGAUU
rnacentral:rRNA from 1 species